AUCUGGCUGACCAGUCCCAAAUGGGACGAAGCGUGUGUUCUGGAU
rfam:Schistosoma haematobium scaffold569_14, whole genome shotgun sequence.